AACACAUGGCUAAGUACGGCUCAGAAACGUUCAUCUAUAUAGCUACGAAUUAGGUCACUAUGACGUCAUGGCAGUUUACGAAACGGACAAGGCUUAUAUGUUCUUUGCUGACGAAAAAGUUUGAUGUUGACGGCUUACAUCAAUUUCUUCGAGAGAGAAAAAGCUACACAUAAUGGAAGAAGAGGAAAUUGCCGUUUACCUGUGUAUUGUUCUCGGAAUGCAGACGAUUGAUUUAUACUGAAUGACAAAUGUUCUUCACGUAUUUAUGGAUUUGUUUUAAUUGUAACAUAUAUUGAUUAUUAUUCAUGAUUUAGAAAUGGAAUUAUCAGUUAUUGA